GCAACUGUAAGGUAUUUACACCUGGGUGGAUGGCCAGAGAUGUGUUGACUUCUCUGAUGGUAUAUACUCGGAGGACCUCCAGCAGGAAGGAGGCAUUGAUGGCCAUCAUCCAAGCAAAUGUUUCACUAUUGAAAUUGAGGUAUUUGUGAUAGUACGCCCGGGUCUUUCGCUCGUACAUGGUCAAUUUCUCAACAAGAUUGUGAAACUUGA
rnacentral:misc_RNA from 1 species